GUGCCAGCAGCCGCGGUAAUACGUAGGUGGCAAGAGUUAUCCGGAAUUAUUGGGCGUAAAGCGCGCGCAGGUGGUUUCUUAAGUCUGAUGUGAAAGCCCACGGCUCAACCGUGGAGGGUCAUUGGAAACUGGGAGACUUGAGUGCAAAAGAGGAGAAGUGGAAUUCCAUGUGUAGCGGUGAAAUGCGUAGAGAUAUGGAGGAACACCAGUGGCGAAGGCGACUUUUCUGGUCUGUAACUGACACUGAGGCGCGAAAGCGUGGGGAGCAAACAGGAUUAGAUACCCUGGUAGUCC
rnacentral:rRNA from 1 species